rnacentral:rRNA from 1 species
AUUGAACGCUGGCGGCAGGCUUAACACAUGCAAGUCGAACGAGUGGCGGACGGGUGAGUAAUGUCUGGGCAACUGCCUGAUGGAGGGGGAUAACUACUGGAAACGGUAGCUAAUACCGCAUACCAUCGGAUGUGCCCAGAGGGGAUUAGCUAGUAGGUGGGGUAAAGGCUCACCUAGGCGACGAUCCCUAGCUGGUCUGAGAGGAUGCCCAGCCACAAUGGAACUGAGACACGGUCAAGACUCCUACGGGGGGCAGAAGUGGGUAUAAUUGCACAAUGGGCGAAAGCCUGAUGCAGCCAUGCCGCGUGUCUGAGGAAGGCCUUCGGGUUGUAAAGUACUUUCAGCGGGAAGGCGUUACCCGCAGAAGAAGCAACGGCUAACUCCGUGCCAGCAGCCGCGGUAAUAC